GAGCACACCUGAGACACAAGGACAAAUUAAAGCCAGUGAAUAAAACUAAAGGUCACUUUAAAGGAGUAUAAAGCUACAGUGGACAUAACGUGGCAUAGGUGAUCUUGACACCACAGAACUGUGAAGCCUGCAAUCCUACAAUAUAGAGGGGUAUGAGGAAGACAUCUCAGGAUACUGAAGAGUGUUGCAGAGGACCCACAAAUAGUCCUGAGCAUGAGAUGGUGGACAACAAACCCAUUUUUGGUGUGGGUAAAAUCAUUAGCGACAUCUUUUUCUUUUUUUUUUUUUCAGCAGUUUGAAGAUGUGUCAUUCCAUUUAUUUUUUCAUAAUUUCUGUUAAAAAGACUGCAGCUGCCCUUACUGUUGUACCUUUGAAGGUGUUGCAGCAAGAGCGCUGGCCUGCCAUGAUCUGCUACAUUCUACCUGGAAAUACAAGUCAGAAGUCAGCCUGUCAUAUUUUUUCAAAAGGUGACUUGUCAAAAUGAGACUUCUUUCAUAAAAUCAGUCUGGUUGGGCAUGGUGGCUCACGCCUGUAAUCCUAGCACUUUGGGAGGCUGAAGUAGGUGGAUGGCUUGAGCCCAGGAGUUUGAGACCAGCCUGGGCAACAUGGCAAAAUCCCAUCUCUACAAAAAAUACAAAAAUUAGCCGGGCAUAGUGUCACACACCUGUGGUCCCAGCUACUCAGGAGACUGAGAUGGGAGGAUCACCUGAGCCCGGGAGGUUAAGGCUGCAGUGAGCCAGGAUUGGGCCACUGCACUACAGCAUGGGUGACAGAGUGAAAUGCUGUCUCAAAAAACAACAACAAAAAAUCUCUCAAUCUGUCCAAAUAGUUAGAUUGUCUUCAGUAAUCUUUCCAUCGCGAUCUUGCUUUGUUUCUACUACUACUCUGAUGCUACAUAAUUAAGGUCACCAAUCGUUGUCACUGUCUUUCCAAACCUGUUGUUCCUUACUUCCUCCGGCCAUUCUUCCUUGUCCCCCUCCCAUUCAUCAUCCAGACACACACACACACACACACACACACACACACACACACACACACAUACAUUUUAACAAUACCAAACUCCUUGUAGUUCCCCUAAAUGAAUCAUGUUGUUUCCCUUACCUGAAAUGCCCAAUCCCUUUUUUAUUUUCAUUGCUAACUCCUCUCAUCUUUCCAGAGUGUUCACGUCUACCAGGAGUGUUCUUGUCCCUCCCAUUCCUUUCUACUCUAGCUCCACUCACAGUUCUGUGUAAUCCCAUCUUGUGGACUAACCCGUGUUAAAAAGAUUUGUUUGCUGAUUUGAUUCUUCCCUCCACUACACCCCCCCAUAACACAAAAUGAGUCCCUUAAAAGCAGAAAUGUUGCCUCACUGGUCUCCAGCACCCAGUGGAGUAUUUGGUAUGAAUGUCGGUCGAACUGUACUCUCUCCAGUGUGCAUUUUGUUCCAGGAAGACUAGGUAAUAGCAGGAGCAUUAGAAGCCUCAUCUUCAGGGCUGUUUGACAUUGAUUUUUUAAAAAAUACAUUUCCUGAGGUCUCACUAGUGCCAGAAUAUGAAAAAAAUAAUCAUUCUUCUCUGACUAAAGUGGAAUCACCAGUGAUUUAUUCUCUCCUUAAUCAGUAAUACUAGCUAACAUUUAUAUAGCCCUCACUAGGUCCCAAGCACUUUGAACAUAUCAUCUUAUUUCAUGUCUAUAACCACCUUCAGGUAGGCACUGUUGUUACCCUCCAAUUUACAAAGGAGGAAACUGAAGUGCAGGGAGGUUAAGUAAGUGGCAAGCUAGAAUCUGGAUACAGGUUGUCUGGUUCCAGGGACCAGGCAGUUAGCCAUUAUGCUAUGCGGCAUGAUUUCUUGCUUUCCUUGCCCUUUUUUCUUAAAUGUUUAAUUACAUAAGUAGCAUAUCAAUACAUUUAAAUUGUCAAAAAUUCAGAAACAAAGCAAAAACUCACUACUAUUUGAUGGGUAUCUUUCAAGAUCUUUUUCUUUGUUUACAUACAUAUAUACAUUAUGUGUGUGUACAUAUACACAAAGAAAUAUGUAUUUUUAUGUAACUGGAUUAUGCCUUAUUUUUCUAUAGAUUUGUUUUCAUUUAACAAUUUGUCUUAAAGGUCUUUUCAUAUCGAUGCAUAUUGAUCUAUUUUAUUCUUUGAAUGUUGCAUAGUAUGGAUAUAUUCCAUAGAAUGGGUGUAAUAUAGUUUAGGUAACCAUUUUUCUUUUGCGAGUCAUUUAUGUUGUUUCUGAUUUCACUGUUACAAACCAGGCUGCACUGAGUAUCCUUGAACAUGUCUCUUCACAUUCAUGCAACUAUACGUCUAGGAAAGAUCCUCAGAAAUAAAAUUGUUGGGAUGAAGUUUGUGUUGACUUUUUUUUUUUUAAUGGUGACUCACAUCCUGCCUUCCAGGGAGGCUGUGGCUUUUAUUGUUUCAUCAUUCACAUAUUAAAAGGGUUGUGUACACUUGGUUGAAUUUAUGGCAGAGUAAAAAAUCAUAAUAAAAUAAAUAAAAGGGCUGUGGCUGGAGGUUUUCCAGGAAAUCAACUCUCUAUAAAAGCACUGCUCACACCCUAACAUGCCAAGGAAAGCAAAGGCCUUCUCUCUUCUCCACCUCAUCUUUAGGAAAAAGGAAUUUUGGCCUGAGUUGCAGAAUAAACAGUGUCCUUGAGAGCAUACAGUGGGAUUCCUGAAAAAGAAGGUGGCAGGCAAGAGGAAGGUGAAACUUUCUGUGGGAAGAAAUCAAGUGGCUCUGUCAAAAGACAAAAUUACAACCCAUUUAGUUAAAGAUCUUAAUAGGCUUUUAUCGGUGACUCUUGAAUCAGGCAACAACUCAAUCUGUAAAUGAGCUGAACAGAGAAGUUUGGCUUUAUAGACAAAAAGGGCUGGGGAAGCAGACAUAGAGAACAAAAAGUGGAUUAGUCAUUUUGAAGUUGCUUUCUUCCUAAAGGUUAAAGCAGAGGGGACUUCCUUAUCAUGCCGGGUAAAACUGGCCUGUUUGGGGAUUUGGCUCUCUCUCUCUCCCUGCCACCCCCAACCCCCUGAUUCCUUGGAAGUUCAGAUAAACACCUUGGUUUUGGUU
rnacentral:lncRNA from 1 species